CAGCAAUCCUCCAGUGUGCUUGGGUCUGUCUGUGACUCUGUGUGUUCCUACAGUCUUGUCAGAACAGUUUUGAAACGGUUUGAGGGCUUGCCCUGCUCCAUGAAGAACAAGGUUAUAGAACUUUCAGACAAUC